CGCGGGAGAACCGGUCAUAGGAUAUGACUGGUUUGUUCGAGAUGGAUUGCGAGCAACAUUCAGAAGUUGGUGUGUGCUUUCACACUGACUGAAUGACCAGCCUGUGCGUGACAGAGAAGUUCAAGCAGUUUCCUGAAACUCAAAGGACAAGCCGUCAUUUUCAGAAGCCCUACAACAGAGCAGCAGGAAUCAUCUACUGAUUUAUGGCCUUGACAGUCAACCCAGAGGCAGCUUCUCAGCAAAGUUCAUGCCAUGGAUCCACUCCAGAUGCUAUGUGAACUGUUGAGGAGAUUGAUGAAUCUGUUUAGUCAUUCCAGAUGACCAAGGCUUUCUCAUUACCUUCUGCACAGUUUGCUCCUACAGUUGGCAUUGUCAGCGGGAUACCCUACUGGAUUACAACCAACUAUGUGGCUUCUGUUCAGGAACAGUAAAGAAGGAACUCGACAAACUACGCCCAGAAGAAUCUGGAUAAUUGAAUUUGUCAUUCUUUUGAGCUGUCUCUCGAGAGCAAGUAAAAUACCGUCUAUAAACCGAGGGGAUAACGAAGAGCGACCAUCUGUGGUGUGUACCAAUGGUAUCCGGUUCAACAGGAGGGACGUGAUAGCAUGCGGUGCUGUGAAAUGGACAUUUGAAAACUGCACAGCGCUCGGGGGACAUCCGGUGGGGAGUGGGCAUGCACGAGAGGGGGAUCCUAUGUUUAUGUUUGUCAUGCCGAGACACAGGACUACCGAACCAUUCACACUUAAAUGUGGCAAUGAAACUUGUACGGUAACACGACAGGACUGCUGCAUUCAGAAAUUGAUCAGUGCAGGACUCCCCUGUUACCCGUAGUGAUAGCCGAAAUGACACUGGGGAUAUAGGAUUAGUACUGGAAGAUAUGAGCGAAAGGGUUACUCUAGUACCAGGCUACAGACACGUACAGUUAGUCUUCAACCUGACUGCCUUCUGACUUUAGUUUUUGUGGGGACCGUACAAAUCUCCUUUUCCAACAGUUACUCAAUAAACAAGUUACUCGGAGUGAGAUUAGGACAGAGAGAUGAAAAAAGAAAGGAGCUUUAUAAAGUUGCUAGGAAAAGAAUAUUCAGCUGGGGUCUCUGUAGUUAAUUCUUUAGAUAUAGCAGAAAAUUUUGUGCAUUUAAUAUUUCAAUAACAUUUGAGUAAUAUAUAUUGUUUAACUAAGCAUUCUUGGUGGUUAUUCAUUACAAGUUAUAUGUAAAAAUACAUUAAUUACAUGCAUCAUCAUGCAGCAAUGUGAUUCGAGCUCACCUCGCUUAAAGU